AGCAAAUCUCAGUUUGUGGUUUUGCUGAGGCCCACACCUGCACGGCAUGAGGAUUGCUCUCCCAGCCGCAUCAGCCACUGGCUUCUCAUUUCGGGGGGUGUGAGGCUCCCUCUGAGCCCAGCCAGGCAGUGGAGGAAAUGAAGAGACUCUCAAGGGAGGGGCGAAGGAGAGAGGAUGGGGUAGGGUGGAGAGCAGCCACCCUGAGAGCAGCUGCCUCUGCAAGACGGCGGGCUCCUCCCGCUGCUGGAGCUGCUCCUCCAGGAGUCAGCUGCUGCUAGAUGCCUCUGAGAAGCUCUGUUUCCAGGUAAGGAGACCACCUGUCCUAAGACCCACAGGACCUGGAACAGGAACCGGCUGAGUGGACUCCCUGGUGAAAUGAAUUGGACCAACUGUGGGUUCCAGGACUCCAGAGUCAGCAGCGAUGCCUUCCUGAACAACCCCUCACCAUUGCUCUGCUCGCAGAACCUCACUACGUUGAAGCCAGAGAUCAAACCUGAUGAACUCAGCAGUUUGGGCACAGCAGCCACAGUCAUCUCUGGCUCCGUUGGUGUGGUGGCUCUCAUCUUGCUUCUGGUGGGGUCCACUCUUGUCCAUGACCCUGAAGAAAUGGAGACAUGAGAGGCUAUUUAAGAAACAACUGAGGCACCAGACCAACUUUCUCCAUAAAACUUCGGAGUUUUCCUGCCACACUGAUGCCAUAUAUUCCAAUGUGAUCAACCUGACUCCCUGGAAAGAGGAUGACUUCGCUGUCUAUGCCAACGUGCCCCCUUUCGAUCGGCCCAGGAAGACAUCACCAGACCAAGUGGAAUAUGCCUCCAUUGUAUUCCACUGAUGGGAAGCCAAUGCGAUGCUUCAGGCUGAGAGUCAAACCUAUGCCCCAGCUGGUGUGUGUGUGUGUGUGUGUGUGUGUGUGUGUGUGUCUAGUUAGAAAAAUGCAUUAAAACAUUCUAAUGACGGUAAAUGGCUGGGUAUUCUUCUAAUUGAUUGGAAAUAAAGUGCAGUUCUAAUGGAAAGGAGUGGCA
rnacentral:lncRNA from 1 species